rnacentral:rRNA from 1 species
UACGUAGGGUGCGAGCGUUUGUCCGGAAUUAUUGGGCGUAAAGGGCUCGUAGGCGGUUUGUCGCGUCGGGAGUGAAAACACCGGGCUUAACUCGGUGCUUGCUUUCGAUACGGGCAGACUAGAGGUAUGCAGGGGGAGAACGGAAUUCCUGGUGUAGCGGUGAAAUGCGCAGAUAUCAGGAGGAACACCGGUGGCGAAGGCGGUUCUCUGGGCAUUACCUGACGCUGAGGAGCGAAAGUGUGGGGAGCGAACAGG